UCCCUCUCAGGGUCACACCUGGAGAGUUUCCAGUACUCUACCAGUUUCAGCUAUGGGAGGGAGAGUCAAGCAGGGCAUACCUAUUCCAUUCCUAGCUUAAGCAGUGGCUAGCGAGUGGAAGGCAAUCUGCUACAAGU
rnacentral:snoRNA from 1 species